rnacentral:misc_RNA from 1 species
UCACCGCUUACGCGGGCAGUCUCAUUAGAGUCCCCAGCUUAACCUGUUGGCAACUAAUGAUAAGGGUUGCGCACGUUGCGGGACUUAACCCAGCACCUCACGGCACGAGCUGACGACAGCCAUGCAGCACCUAUGUAGCAGUCCUUACGGAAGAUGUCAUUUCUGACACUGUCCACUACACUUCGAGCCUGGGUAAGGUUCUUCGCGUUGCAUCGAAUUAAACCACAUGCUCCACUGCUUGUGCGGGCCCCCGUCAAUUCUUUUGAGUUUCACCCUUGCGAGCGUACUCCUCAGGCGGUAUACUUAUCGCGUUAGCUUCGACACAGUCAGGGUUGAGCCCAACUACAUCAAGUAUACAUCGUUUACGGCAAGGACUAC